GUGGGGAAUAUUGCACAAUGGGCGAAAGCCUGAUGCAGCUAUGCCGCGUGUGUGAAGAAGGCCUUCGGGUUGUAAAGCACUUUAGGCGAGGAGGAAAGGUUAACGGUUAAUACCUGUUAGCUGUGACGUUACUCGCAGAAUAAGCACCGGCUAACUCCGUGCCAGCAGCCGCGGUAAUACGGAGGGUGCAAGCGUUAAUCGGAAUUACUGGGCGUAAAGCGCGCGUAGGCGGUUUGAUAAGCGGAGUGUGAAAUCCCCGGGCUUAACCUGGGAACUGCAUUCCGAACUGUCAGACUAGAGUAUAAGAGAGGGUGGCGGAAUUCCGAGUGUAGCGGUGAAAUGCGUAGAUAUUCGGAGGAACACCAGUGGCGAAGGCGGCCACCUGGCUUAAUACUGACGCUGAGGCGCGAAAGCGUGGGUAGCAAACAGGAUUAGAUACCCGGGUAGUCC
rnacentral:rRNA from 1 species